UGCUUCUACGAGAGGCAGCAGUGGGGAAUAUUGCACAAUGGGGGAAACCCUGAUGCAGCGACGCCGCGUGAGCGAAGAAGUAUUUCGGUAUGUAAAGCUCUAUCAGCAGGGAAGAAAAUGACGGUACCUGACUAAGAAGCCCCGGCUAACUACGUGCCAGCAGCCGCGGUAAUACGUAGGGGGCAAGCGUUAUCCGGAUUUACUGGGUGUAAAGGGAGCGUAGACGGCGAUGCAAGUCUGAAGUGAAAGGCGGGGGCCCAACCCCCGGACUGCUUUGGAAACUGUAUAGCUGGAGUGCAGGAGAG
rnacentral:rRNA from 1 species